CCUUCCCUUACACAGCCCAACCAUGAAAACAGGCUCUUUUUUGUUUUUGUUUGGUUUUUAGCUAACAACCUUCAUCCUCCCUGCAGGGAUAAAAGGCAUGGCUGGUUUAUGACGGCUCAAGGGUUUGAAUUCAAAUAUCUUCCACCCAAUUCCCUACUUGGCCCCAAUAUUCGGGAAUAAAGGGACAAUUCGGAAAUCAGGACCCAUCCGAGCCAAGGAGGAGAGAAGCAAGGAGGCUAGAGCAAAGGGCGGCCUGCUCUCUACUCCGGAAUGCCCGGCGCGCGGAAACACGCAGCGGUUGCUCGUGUCCGGAGCGCACCGGUCCCGCUGUCUCCACUGCGGUAGCAUCCGGACAUGACAUUGCAGCAGCGACAAAGCGGUGGCCACAACCGGCCGCAGGCAACUGACAGGAUUUCUCCGGCCUCGCACCACGCGGAGGGGCUGGCAGAGGAUGAUACUGGGGUGAGGCUAGGUAUUGGGGCGAGAGGUAGGCCGGGUAGGGGGCAAAAGCCCUGAAAUGCUCAAGACGCCAGGGCGGCCACCACUCGCGCCUCCUCCAAGCAGCCAGAUUGCAAGAAAAAUAAUUCGCUAACACUCCCAGUCGUAGUUCACCCUCUAUCCCCCCCCCAAAAAAAAAUGAUCUAGAAGGAGCCCCCCCUCGGUCUGGCCAUUGCCUUGUAAUCUUCCAAUCCUGCUGGUCCCACCGCGUGCCUCAGGCACUACGGGCCGGGGACCCGCCCCGCUCCCGUACAUCAGCUCGAACGCUACUGACACCCCAGGGCUCCCUCCGAUCGCUCACCAGGAGAAGGGUGCCGGCGACCAUCGUGGCUCCAACUUGGCCGGCGACGCGGCUGCCAGAGGCGAGGGCGGUGAUGCUGCUUGCCGAGGUCCCCAUGGCCGAGGCUGGGGCUCGCAGGGGCGCCCGGAGCGCGCGGCCCCACGGCAGCUGGAAUCGGUGGCUUUUGCUGCCCAGCGCCGCAUCCACCGCCGCCUCCCGGGCGGGGAGCCCAUCUACCUCCAGCAGCCCAUGUGCACUGCAGCAGCCGGGCGGCUGGGCGGAAGAGGGAGGCGGCAGGGGAGGCUCGGGAAGGCGCUCAGCACCUGCCCAGGGGCGCCGGCGCCCGGGCGGGGAGAAGAAGCAGGCGCGCUUGGAACCCACGCCUCCCGGUGCUCUCCAGCGACAGCGGCUGUGGAGAAGCAGGGAGCAGGGCUGACAGAGACACAGCGAAGGAACGACUUCCCAUAGCGAAGCCUCCAGCCACUACCAAACACUCGCCUCCUCCGCUGCCCAGACUAGCUGGCGAGGGACUGACUCGGGUGGCCACUCAGCUUGGGGACACACGUGGUGGCGCCGAAGGGGCGGAGAACCGGCCCUUUGUGAUGUCACCCGGGAGGAGGCCGGGCUCUUUGUGCAGAUGGAGAGCUCAAGGCGUUCCAGAAACCUAGGGAAGGAAAGGGUGCCCCUUGGCGUUAGCUGGAGAAAUUGCGUUUGCUUGUUAGCCUGGGAAUUCAGCACACACCCCUUACUUAACUUUUCUUUGUAAAAUUAUUCCAAGUAAACUAUAUUUAAAACAGA